ACGGUGAGUAACACGUGGGUGAUAUGCCCUGCACUUCGGGAUAAGCUUGGGAAACUGGGUCUAAUACCGGAUAGGACCAUCGUUUAGUGUCGGUGGUGGAAAGUUUUUUCGGUGUGGGAUGAGCUCGCGGCCUAUCAGCUUGUUGGUGGGGUAAUGGCCUACCAAGGCGUCGACGGGUAGCCGGCCUGAGAGGGUGUACGGCCACAUUGGGACUGAGAUACGGCCCAG
rnacentral:rRNA from 1 species